UUAAUCUACCUUUUAGAUUGGAAUACCCAUUGGAAACAAUGGCUAAUGCCGGAUACGCAUGGAACCGCAUGGUUCCGUUGUGAAAGGCGCUGUAAGGCGCCACUAAAAGAUGAGGGUGCGGAACAUUAGUUAGUUGGUGAGGUAAUGGCCCACCAAGACUAUGAUGUUUAGCCGGGUCGAGAGACUGAACGGCCACAUUGGGACUGAGAUACGGCCCAAACUCCUACGGGAGGCAGCAGUAGGGAAUAUUCCACAAUGAGCGAAAGCUUGAUGGAGCGACACAGCGUGCACGAUGAAGGUCUUCGGAUUGUAAAGUGCUGUUAUAAGGGAAGAACAUUUGCAAUAGGAAAUGAUUGCAGACUGACGGUACCUUGUCAGAAAGCGAUGGCUAACUAUGUGCCAGCAGCCGCGGUAAUACAUAGGUCGCAAGCGUUAUCCGGAAUUAUUGGGCGUAAAGCGUUCGUAGGCUGUUUGUUAAGUCUGGA
rnacentral:rRNA from 1 species